CUAAGUAUGUGAUAACCAUGCAGGGAAUGCAGACAGGGGAGUAUUCUACUCCUUCUAGUCUGUGGGAGGGGAAAUAUCGCGAGAAGUAAUUUCCUCCCAUGCUGCUUUGCAACCACUUAGAAGAAAGCUGAGACUGUAGCGCCACGUGCACUUUUGAAGCAGCAGGGAUUUAUCUUAGUUGAGGACUGAGGCCUUCAUAUGAACUGGAAAAUACCAUGAAGACUGAGGUACUCCAGACCGUGUUAUCCAAUGCUUUUCUCUUCCUGUUCUCUUAUGAACAGCUGCGGGAGGGGAUAUGUCAUGAGAAGCGACUUCUCCCAUAAAGCUUUUCUCAACAGAAGAAAGCAGACAUGUUUUAAAUAGCAAGGAUGUAUCUGGAUUUAGGCAGAUUUAAUAUGAAUUGACUAAGGAUUUUGUAUGAACUGCAAAAUACCAAGAAUUACAGAGGAACUCUGGAUAGUGGGGCAGUGUUCUCCAGUGCCUCCCCCUUCUGUUCUCCUGCUCCAGCUGUGGGAGGGGAAGUAUCCAAAAAAAAAGGGGACUUCCUCUCAUGAUGCUUUGCCACAACAGAAGAACAUGUUGUAAAACCCUGGGAUUUAUGCAGGAUUAUUCUUAAUGGACUGAGGAUUUCAUAAGAACUCCAAAAUAACAUGAGGACUUGAGGGAAGUUGCCUUAUGAAGAAACUUCGGGUGACCAGGAAAAAAAGCAUUAUGAUUUUCUAUGAACUGCAAAUUACCACCAAGACUGAGGGUUACAUUUUAGUGGAAAAUGAUGAGGUGAUCAGUCUUGAAGAAUAAAACUCUGAAAACAAGUGCCGCCGCGCCCCCCCCAAUUUUUAUGUAUACUAAUGUCAACCAUCACAUGGAUAUGCACAUUUUUAAAGAAAUGUUUAACAUAACUGGCUGUAAUAAACAUUGACAAAAGUA